AAAAAGUCGUAAAAACCUGCGGCUGGAUCAUUCAUCAUUAAAAAGGAACCGUGCGUUAGAUGGUCGCCUACCCCCCCAAAAAAAAAGAUUCAGUCAGCCAGCAAAAAGUAGCGGACACUUGUUAUAAAUUGGUUAUAUUUCUUGUCCGCUGCUUUUUGUCAAAGUCAUCUCGCACACCAUACAGCCAUACAUCAUAGGAGGUGGAACAAGCUACCAAUAACAACGUUUCUCCUUACGAUGAAGAACGCAGC
rnacentral:misc_RNA from 1 species